UGCGAACGGCUCAUUACAACAGAUAUAAUUUACUUGUUCUAUUCCUUUAAACGGAUAACUGCGGUAAUUCUGGAGCCAAUACGUGCUAAAAGACGCAUUCAGCAAUGAGUGUGUUGCAUUUAUCGGAGCAAAACCCUUCCUGGUUUUAUGCUAACUCUGGAUAACACUGCUUAUCGCAUGACCUUGUGUCGGCGAAGUUACAUUCAAGUAUCUGCCUUAUCAACUUUCGAUGGUAGUGUAUUGGACUGCCAUGGUGUUGACGGGUAACGGAGAAUCAGGGUUCGACUCCGGAGAGGGAGCCUUAGAAACGGCUACCAUGUCUAAGGACAGCAGCAGGCGCGCAACUUAUCCACUGUUCAUUGAACGAGAUAGUGACGAGAAAUAACAAGUUCGUUCUCUAUGAGGUCGAGCAUUGGAAUGGAUGAAAUCUAAACAGUUUCAUGAGUACCCACGAGAGGGCAAGUCUGGUGCCAGCAGCCGCGGUAAUUCCAGCU
rnacentral:rRNA from 1 species